GACAGAGGGUGCAAACGUUGUUCGGAAUUACUGGGCGUAAAGCGCGUGUAGGCGGCCAUCUAAGUCGGGCGUGAAAUCCCACGGCUCAACCGUGGAAGUGCACUCGAAACUGGAUGGCUAGAGUCCUGGAGAGGAAGGUGGAAUGCUUGGUGUAGAGGUGAAAUUCGUAGAUAUCAAGCGGAACACCGGUGGCGAAGGCGGCCUCUGGACAGUGACUGACGCUGAGACGCGAAAGCGUGGGGAGCAAACAGG
rnacentral:rRNA from 1 species